ACCGACGGCAAAACCAUCAAAAUUUCUUCUCUAUGGCAUUUUCUAAUUGCGGGAAAAAGUAUGGGGCGGGCAGAGCCAUUUCAAGCAACACAAUAACAGCCACAUACCAACAACAACAACAACAAAAUGUGAAUGCCAACGGUGAAAACAAAAUGAACGACGAAUUCAAACACACACAGAGAGAUACAGACACCGAGAAUACCUUUACACCUUCCCCCACAGCUAACGACUAAUGGCAAGUGUGGAGGUUGGGGCGAAAAGAGCCAAAUACGAUAGAACGAGAGGAGAACACACGAAUUUCUUCUUUCUAUAUUCCAAACACACACCUAUACACAUAGAGACGACGUUCGCCAAGAGUAUUUUGUCUGAUGAGGGCAAUGGUGAUGGCAAUGAUGAUGCUGCUGAUGCUGAUGCUGACGAGUCUACGGGAACGGUGAGCAAGAUUCCUGUGUCAAACAGUUCUAUAUACGGAAGGUGAAGAAACAAACCUUUAUUAAAUGCAAGAGUCACCGACCUACCCUAUCACCAAAAUUCAAAUUCUUUGGCCAUGUUCCUCGAUAGUUCUCCCUUCGAAUUUCCCUAGUGCUGGGAAUACGCAAGAAUUUGUACCCUCGAAAGAGGAGGUUCCCUCCCUGAAUAUUGGUCCUGAUAUCCAUUUCAACAACACACAGGGUGCAUUCAACUGAAGUUCAGUGGAAAAUUGUAAACUUCUGUCAGUGACUUUGAAAGUGAGUAAUUUAAUACGUCUUAUGUAUUAUAAUUUUGCAAGGAGCCA
rnacentral:sRNA from 1 species